UACGUAGGGUGCGAGCGUUGUCCGGAAUUAUUGGGCGUAAAGAGCUCGUAGGCGGUGUGUCACGUCGGCCGUGGAAACCUGCAGCUUAACUGUGGGCGUGCGGUCGAUACGGGCAUCACUGGAGUUCGGUAGGGGAGACUGGAAUUCCUGGUGUAGCGGUGAAAUGCGCAGAUAUCAGGAGGAACACCGAUGGCGAAGGCAGGUCUCUGGGCCAUAACCGACGCUGAGAAGCGAAAGCAUGGGGAGCGAACAGG
rnacentral:rRNA from 1 species